UAGGGAAUAUUAGAAAUGGACGAAAGUCUGAUCUAGCAACACCGCGUGUGCGAAGAAGGCCUUCGGGUCGUAAAGCACUUUUUGGAAGGAAUAGGAAGGAAUGUACUUCCAGAAUAAGUCUCGGCUAACUACGUGCCAGCAGCCGCGGUAACACGUAGGAGGCGAACGUUAUCCGGAUUUACUGGGCGUAAAGCGCGUGUAGGUGGUACUGUAAGUAGGGCGUGAAAGCUCCUGGCUCAACCGGGAGAGGCCGUUCUAAACUACAGAACUAGAGGAUGGUAGAGGGAGGUGGAAUUCCAGGUGUAGCGGUGGAAUGCGCAGAUAUCUGGAGGAACACCGGUGGCGAUGGCGGCCUCCUGGACCAUUCCUGACACUCAGACGCGAAAGCUAGGGUAGCAAACGG
rnacentral:rRNA from 1 species